rnacentral:lncRNA from 1 species
AUUGAAACUCUCAAGGGCUUGGACUGUUCAUAUUUUUAAAAUAUCAUUUUGUGUUUUCUUACAGGGUCACAUGGGUGAUAAUGUAAUAGGACAGAAAGGACAACAGGUAAUUUAAAUACUAGGGCUUUCCAGUGGGUAAGAAACUUUUAAGUUCCAUAGUGUGUCAGCCUACACAGUUUAUCUCCUGGCCAAGUUAAAAUUGACGUUUUCAUUUGCUCUGUCUUCUUGCAUAAGAACUGAAAGAGAAAGUUGAUAUGUCGAACAUAGUUAAGUUGGAAUGUUGAUGAUGCUUAGUUUUUCAUUCUUGGGUUUAUUUAUCUUUAGGGUGUGAAAGGAUUAGCAGGACCCCCGGGACCACCAGGAACAGUUAUUGUGACACUAACUGGCCCAGAUAACAAAACGGAACUCAAGGGGGAGAAGGGAGAAAAGGGAGCCAUGGGCGAACCAGGACCUCCUGGACCCCCGUUCACACAGGGACUGCCAGGCGAGUCGUGUGGAUCUGAGAAGGGUGCUCCUGGAGAACGUGGCGCACAGGUGAGUCUGGAAAUCCAGUGUUACACGCACCCUGACUCGUCGGGGCUCUUCUCCCUGUGACCACCUCGACCCUCCCUUCCCUGCUAAGCCCUCAGGAUAGAACCAGGGCCUCCCAUGUGCCAGACAAGUGUUCUACC